CCUACGGGUGGCAGCAGUGGGGAUUAUUGGACAAUGGGCGAAAGCCUGAUCCAGCCAUGCCGCGUGUGUGAAGAAGGCCUUCGGGUUGUAAAGCACUUUCAGUGGGGAAGAAAGCCUUGGGGCUAAUACCCUCGAGGAAGGACAUCACCCACAGAAGAAGCACCGGCUAACUCCGUGCCAGCAGCCGCGGUAAUACGGAGGGUGCGAGCGUUAAUCGGAAUUACUGGGCGUAAAGCGCGCGUAGGCGGUCUGAUAAGCCGGUUGUGAAAGCCCCGGGCUCAACCUGGGAACGGCAUCCGGAACUGUCAGGCUAGAGUGCAGGAGAGGAAGGUAGAAUUCCCGGUGUAGCGGUGAAAUGCGUAGAGAUCGGGAGGAAUACCAGUGGCGAAGGCGGCCUUCUGGACUGACACUGACGCUGAGGUGCGAAAGCGUGGGUAGCAAACAGGAUUAGAUACCCGAGUAGUC
rnacentral:rRNA from 1 species